rnacentral:piRNA from 1 species
ACAGCUCUUGUCAUAGGACAAUUCAGA